GAAUUUUGGACAAUGGGCGAAAGCCUGAUCCAGCAAUGCCGCGUGCAGGAUGAAGGCCUUCGGGUUGUAAACUGCUUUGGGACGGACAGAAAAGCUUUGGGUUAAUACCCUGGAGUCAUGACGGUACCGUAAGAAUAAGCACCGGCGAACUACGUGCGCGCCGACGCGGUAAUACGAAGGGUGCAAGCGUUAAUCGGAAUUACGGGGCGUAAAACUUGCGCAGGCGGUUGUGUAAGACAGAGGUGAAAUCCCCGGUCUCAACCUUGGACCUGCCGUUGUGACUGCAAGGCUAGUGUACGGCAGAGGGGGGUGGAAUUCCGCGUGUAGCAGUGAAAUGCGUAGAUAUGCGGAGGAACACCGCUGGCGAAGGCAACCCCCUGGGCCUGUACUGACGCUCAUGCACGAAAGCGUGGGGAGCAAACA
rnacentral:rRNA from 1 species